rnacentral:rRNA from 1 species
UACGGAGGCGGCAAGCGUUAUCCGGAAUUAUUGGGCGUAAAGCGUCCGUAGGCGGUUUAGUAAGUCUGCUGUUAAAGCGCGGGGCUUAACUCCGUAUCGGCAGUGGAAACUACUAGACUAGAGUGUGGUAGGGGUAGAGGGAAUUCCCGGUGUAGCGGUGAAAUGCGCAGAUAUCAGGAAGAACACCUAUGGCGAAGGCAGCCCUCUGGGACGGUACUGACGCUGAGACGCGAAAGCGUGGGGAGCGAACAGG